rnacentral:rRNA from 1 species
GAGAGUUUGAUCCUGGCUCAGGACGAACGCUGGCGGCACGCUUAACACAUGCAAGUCGAACGAGAGAAGAGGAGCUUGCUUUUCUGAUCUAGUGGCGGACGGGUGAGUAACACGUGAGCAAUCUGCCUUUCAGAGGGGGAUACCGAUUGGAAACGAUCGUUAAUACCGCAUAACAUAAUUGAACCGCAUGAUUUGAUUAUCAAAGAUUUAUCGCUGAAAGAUGAGCUCGCGUCUGAUUAGCUAGUUGGUAAGGUAACGGCUUACCAAGGCGACGAUCAGUAGCCGGACUGAGAGGUUGAUCGGCCACAUUGGGACUGAGACACGGCCCAGACUCCUACGGGAGGCAGCAGUGGGGAAUAUUGCACAAUGGAGGAAACUCUGAUGCAGCGAUGCCGCGUGAGGGAAGAAGGUUUUAGGAUUGUAAACCUCUGUCUUCAGGGACGAAAAAAGACGGUACCUGAGGAGGACGCUCCGGCUAACUACGUGCCAGCAGCCGCGGUAAUACGUAGGGAGCGAGCGUUGUCCGGAAUUACUGGGUGUAAAGGGAGCGUAGGCGGGAUCGCAAGUCAGAUGUGAAAACUAUGGGCUUAACCCAUAAACUGCAUUUGAAACUGUGGUUCUUGAGUGAAGUAGAGGUAAGCGGAAUUCCUAGUGUAGCGGUGAAAUGCGUAGAUAUUAGGAGGAACAUCAGUGGCGAAGGCGGCUUACUGGGCUUUAACUGACGCUGAGGCUCGAAAGCGUGGGGAGCAAACAGGAUUAGAUACCCUGGUAGUCCACGCCGUAAACGAUGAUUACUAGGUGUGGGGGGACUGACCCCUUCCGUGCCGCAGCAAACGCAAUAAGUAAUCCACCUGGGGAGUACGACCGCAAGGUUGAAACUCAAAGGAAUUGACGGGGGCCCGCACAAGCAGUGGAGUAUGUGGAUUAAUUCGAAGCAACGCGAAGAACCUUACCAGGUCUUGACAUCGUAUGCAUAGCUCAGAGAUGAGUGAAAUCUCUUCGGAGACAUAUAGACAGGUGGUGCAUGGUUGUCGUCAGCUCGUGUCGUGAGAUGUUGGGUUAAGUCCCGCAACGAGCGCAACCCUUACUGUUAGUUGCUACGCAAGAGCACUCUAGCAGGACUGCCGUUGACAAAACGGAGGAAGGAGGGGAUGACGUCAAAUCAUCAUGCCCCUUAUGACCUGGGCCUCACACGUACUACAAUGGCUGUAAACAGAGGGAUGCAAAGCCGCGAGGUGGAGCGAACCCCCAAAAGCAGUCUUAGUUCGGAUUGUAGGCUGCAACCCGCCUACAUGAAGUCGGAAUUGCUAGUAAUCGCAGAUCAGCAUGCUGCGGUGAAUACGUUCCCGGGCCUUGUACACACCGCCCGUCACGCCAUGGGAGUCGGUAACACCCGAAGCCUGUAGUCUAACCGCAAGGAGGACGCAGUCGAAGGUGGGAUUGAUGACUGGGGUGAAGUCGUAACAAGGUAGCCG